UAAUGACGGUACCUGAAGAAUAAGCACCGGCUAACUACGUGCCAGCAGCCGCGGUAAUACGUAGGGUGCGAGCGUUAAUCGGAAUUACUGGGCGUAAAGCGUGCGCAGGCGGUUGUGUAAGACAGAUGUGAAAUCCCCGGGCUCAACCUGGGAACUGCAUUUGUGACUGCACGGCUGGAGUGCGGCAGAGGGGGAUGGAAUUCCGCGUGUAGCAGUGAAAUGCGUAGAUAUGCGGAGGAACACCGA
rnacentral:rRNA from 1 species